AUGCAAGUCGAACGAGAGAGAAGGAGCUUGCUUCUUCGAUCGAGUGGCGAACGGGUGAGUAACGCGUGAGGAACCUGCCUCAAAGAGGGGGACAACAGUUGGAAACGACUGCUAAUACCGCAUAAGCCCACGGGUCGGCAUCGACCUGAGGGAAAAGGAGCAAUCCGCUUUGAGAUGGCCUCGCGUCCGAUUAGCUAGUUGGUGAGGUAACGGCCCACCAAGGCGACGAUCGGUAGCCGGACUGAGAGGUUGAACGGCCACAUUGGGACUGAGACACGGCCCAGACUCCUACGGGAGGCAGCAGUGGGGAAUAUCGCACAAUGGGGGAAACCCUGAUGCAGCGACGCCGCGUGGAGGAAGAAGGUCUUCGGAUUGUAAACUCCUGUUGUUGAGGAAGAUAAUGACGGUACUCAACAAGGAAGUGACGGCUAACUACGUGCCAGCAGCCGCGGUAAAACGUAGGUCACAAGCGUUGUCCGGAAUUACUGGGUGUAAAGGGAGCGCAGGCGGGAAGACAAGUUGGAAGUGAAAUCUAUGGGCUCAACCCAUAAACUGCUUUCAAAACUGUUUUUCUUGAGUAGUGCAGAGGUAGGCGGAAUUCCCGGUGUAGCGGUGGAAUGCGUAGAUAUCGGGAGGAACACCAGUGGCGAAGGCGGCCUACUGGGCACC
rnacentral:rRNA from 1 species